GGGGUAACAGCGCGGUGGCCGCCAUCUUGCGUACGGCGGUGCAGCUUGCCCAGAUGCUGAGGGCUUGGGGUUUAGUUCCUCUCUGCUUUGGGGCGGUGUUUGCGCGUUGCUUUUACCUUUUCAGAUGUUCGUGUCUUUCUAGACGAGGAUUUUAUUGGGAGGUAAAAGUCAAUGCAGAGCUGUAGUGUAAGAUGCCUUAUGGUGAAAUUGAAGCAAAAUCUUUGGAUCAUGGUGAAGAACUAACAAGUGAACCAUGCUAUAAAAAAUUGAAGUCAACUGAAGAGGCUUAUGUUUUUUCCCACCAUGGUAGUGCUGAUUUUCACAGAAUCCAAGAGAAAACUGGGAAUGAUUGGGUUCCUGUGACCGUUGUGGAUGUCAGAGGACAUAGUUAUCCUCAGGAGGACAAAAUCAAAGCUACAGACUUGCCGAAACCUGUGCGUGAUGUGGUGCCUGGUAAUAAUAGACCAGAUGUUAUCGAAUCCAUUGAUGCACAGAUUUUACAGGAUACAGGUCCUCCAUUGGUAUCCACAGAUGAUGAGAUAUAUAGCACAAGUAAAGCAUUUAUAGGACCCAUUUACAAACCGCCUGAGAAGAGGAAAUGUAAUGAAGGGAGGAAUCAGUCAGGCACUAUCAAUGGUAUAGCUGACAAAGGACGAGACACGAAACAGAAAUUUAACUCCAAAGAAUCAGAGCUUGACAAUGAAUUAUUCCAGUUUUACAAAGAAAUUGAAGAGCUUGAAAAUGAAAAAGAUGAUUUGGAAGGAAGUUGUAAAGAACCUGAACCCUCUGAGGAACAAGUUACUGCCUGUCAUCAGGGCCAUAAUAACGGUCUGUUAAAAUCUGAAGAAGGAAAGAAAAGAGAUAUUAGUAAUGUUCUUCAGUCACAUUGUGGUUAUCCACAGCACGUGGGAAACGAGCCAGGCAAAUAUCCUUGUAAUGGACAAGUAAUACCUGCAUUUUGUGAUGAUUCGUUUACUUCCUUCAGGCCUGAAUGGCAGUCAGUACAUUCUUUUAUAGUACCCCCCGGUCCUCCUCUUCCCAGUUUUAACUAUCAUUUAAAUAUUCAAAGAUUCGAUGCUCCACCAAAUCCACCAUCAAAUACUUUCCAUGCCCAAGAUGGUUCUCAGUUUCAAAAUGGGAAUUAUGUAAAUGGUUGUCACGUUAACUGGAACUGUAUGACUUUUGAUCAGAACAAUGACUAUAUUGAUUGUAGUGAGAACACCAGUAGAGAUCAUUCCUCUACAAAUGGCUACGGUGUGCAAGAUGGAUAUGUGAGUAAUGGUUUCUAUGAAACCAGUGAAGGAUGUUGGAAAGAUACUUCUAUGGACAACCAUCAUGGAACACACAGGCUUAUGAACCAGCAGUUUCAAGAGGAAAAGUUAAAUAAAUUGCAGAAACUACUUAUUCUUUUAAGAGGGUUGCCUGGUUCUGGGAAAACAACGUUGUCUCGAAUUCUGCUUGGUCAGAGUCGUGAUGGCAUUGUGUUCAGCACUGAUGACUAUUUUCACCAUCAAGAUGGGUACAGGUAUAAUGUUAAUCAACUUGGUGAUGCCCAUGACUGGAACCAGAACAGAGCAAAACAAGCUAUCAAUCAAGGGAGAUCUCCAGUUAUAAUAGACAACACUAAUACACAAGCUUGGGAAAUGAAACCAUAUGUGGAAAUGGCCAUAGGAAAAGGAUACAGAGUAGAGUUUCAUGAACCUGAAACUUGGUGGAAAUUUGAUCCUGAAGAAUUAGAAAAGAGGAAUAAACAUGGUGUAUCUCGAAAGAAGAUUGCUCAGAUGUUGGAUCGUUACGAAUACGAAAUGUCCAUCUCUAUUGUAAUGAAUUCAGUGGAACCGCCACACAAAAGCACACAAAGACCUCCUCCUUCACAGGGGAGACAGAGAGAAAGCGAUUUGAAGAAAACUGGGCCCAGGUUCAGCAAAAGCAAACAGAAGAGAAGCAGAAAAAGAAGUAAAAAGCAGAACAGUCAUGGUAAAAUCAUGGGAGAAAACUCAUUUGAAACCUUAAGUUAUACACCAGGAGACCAGGACCCCUCUCAGAGUGCAGAGGAAGACUUGGAAGACACCAACAGAGAAUCGGCGUGCACCUUCACUGGUGGACUGGGACAUGAACUAAGAGGUUUAGUAAAUAGCCACCAAGAUGAAAUAUGGAGAAGCAUACAUCCUGAAGAUGGUUUUCCAAAUGUUAUGUCUGCAGUUGAGCUGGACAAUACACCAGAAAAUUACCUCCCUAAAGAACACGAUGAUUUGUUUCCAAAUAUGUCACUGAUGCCGCAUGAAAACGCUGUUACUUGCCCGACAAUGACUCAGAGUCUUUCCUGCAUGGCAAGUGAUGACUGGUCUGGCGCAAAUGUAGGAAAGCACACUGGAAGUAGGCAUCCCACAGCAUCAGACGUCCAGGGUGGAUCUGCGUCCAUCCCAUGCUCACUGAUGCAGAAGAGAGAGAGGGUAGAUAAAAGACUCCUGAAUGAAACAUUUCUGCGCAAUCGAUAUGGAUCCAGAACUUCAGAUAAAAGUUUAAGAAAGGAACAAGGAGUAAAUUCAGCUAAAAACGAUUAUUGGGCUUUUUCUUCAAACAAUUUUUCUGAUGAAGAAUUACAGCUGAGCUCUGAGAGGCAACCCUAUUUUGGGAGCUGGCCUGAAGGACCUCAUAAGUUUAUAUGUGAACAAAGACCAAAGAGAGAGAGAUGGCAAAGGCUGGCCUCUCCGGACAGCAGGGGACAAUUGAUUAAGUUGAUCUCCACUCCUGAAGGAACUUCAGGACCAGGAAGCAGUCCAGAAACACUGGUAGAGGAGAAGCUGUUGAUAGAAAAUGAAGAUUUGUCACCUCCCACUGAGAAUAUAGAUUCAAUCAUAGAAACAGAAACAAAUGUCUUUAGAAGCUGCUUUCCUAACCUGCAUAUCCCAAAGAGUGACUUAUGCUCAACAAAGAAUAAGAAAAGGAGGGAGAAAAGGAUUUUCAAUUUGGCACCAAACUUUAACUUACUGGGACAGAGAUAUAUCAGUGUGAAAGAAAGAGGGGAAUAUGGCGUGAUAACAGAAAGCCAUGGACUAAAAAUUAUUUUGGAAGAAGAAAAAGAUAGAAUCUCAGAAAUAAACAAUAUAGAGGAGAAUAAGCAAAAACUUAUGACCUUUGAUCAUCAUCCAUCAUGGUUUUGCUUUGCUGUUUUCGAAGAUCCUCCUUUAAAUUUUGGUAGACAGUCUUAUUCUCAUUACCUGCCAUUUAGUAGACUAAGGCGCUCUGUGUACUUUUAUAAAAACCCUAUUCCUUCUCUUGUGCUACAGUAUACCUUCAGCUUUUGGAUGGUAUCUUUUACGAGCAAGAAACCAUCUUUGACUUUCAAAUCUCAGACAAGGGUAGAUGACCAACUACAUGACCUAGGGUUUAGUUCUUCAGAAAUUUUAAGUAGCCAAUCUGAUACUUUGUACUCUUUUAGGGUCACUUCUGAUCUUCACUUUUUAAAUGAAAGUUUUGAUGAAAAGCUGAAGACAUGGGAAGAACCUAAGCCAUUACAGUUCUUACAAACUGAAGAUAACCAAGAUUUGACGAGCACUGGCUUUGAUUCCCUUGAACUACAAUUAUCACAAGGGUUUGCCUUUCAACUGGUAAAGCUUUUUGGAUCCCCUGGAGUUCCAAUGGAAUCUUUGUUGCCUGAUGACUGUGUGGUUUCCCUUGACUGGAAGACACUGAAGAUGAUCUAUUUGCAGUGGAAAAUAUCAGUAGAGAAAAGACAGAAGAAGAUUGGUUAAAAAUGAGAAUUUCUGGAACCUUGAAUUCUCCAGUCCUCCUCGUGCUGUUGAAGACCCUAAUCGUCAAGAAAGAGUGCCCAGUGCCCGCCCAAAGGAUCAUUUUCAACGAUACACUCAUUGGAUACCAAAAUUGGUUUGGAUAAUCUGUCCAACCAUUCUUGAUUAGUUAUCUGAAUAAUAAAAAACUCAACAAAAGAGGGAGGAAGAAUAUACAGUGCGAUAUGUGUUUAUAAUUACUUGGUGGAAAGGCUGCCCAGCUAUACAGGAGAUUCUCCACCAUCGUAGUCCUGGAGCCAUUGGGAAAGUAGAAGAACACGCUGCUGAAUUGGACCAAGAUAAUAUUGCAGGUGUGGUUUAUGACUAGAGAAGCAGUAGAAAUAGAGGAAGAAAUGAAAGGGGAAGAAUGUGUUCAUAGGAAGAUCUCAGACAUGCACAAGAUGUUCCCUUAACCUAAUCCAAGCCUAAGACACUGAGAAGUUAAACAUCUUGAUCAGGGUCACAGGGAUGACUUCCUAUUUCUAGUGCAGAGCUUUUACUUCUGCACCAAAGGAAGAGGCCACUGGGAGUGACCUCGUGAAAGACUAAUGAAGUUGGUUUUGAAUUUGUUGUUUAAUUAAAAAAUGCUUACGUGGUCUAUUAAAGGGGCUAAGUUUACCUGGAUUAACUCUUAGAGUAAGAAAGUCACCUUUUAUUAUUUGUCAUUAUUGAUGAUAUAUUUCUUUGGCUAUAAAAAAUACCAGGGAAUUGAUUUUCUUUAUUAAUGUGGUACCACUGGGACAAUGGGAGGGGAUGAUUUAGAUUUUUUAAUAAGUACUCAUAUUUAUCCUGAUUAUGGUAUGUUGGAGAGAGAUGUAGUCAAUAUCCAACCCCCGAGGGUCUGAAGUCCCUUCCUCAUCUACUCACAGGAUAAGACAUUUGUAAUUCAAUCUAGUGACUUAGUUCCCUCUUGGCAUUUCAGUGAACUCUUCUCUAUUUAAUGGCACCAUUCUAGGCCCAUUCAGACUCUAGAGGAACCCAAUAAGGAAUUGUUUGUUUUCACUCCAAAUUAUCUAAAGAGACCUAGGCUCUAUGGAUUGAGGACAUUGUACAAUAAGGAAAAACUGACCUAAUUUCUGAUUGUUCCUUCAUAAGGAUCUCUAUGGCAUCAUGUGUAUGACUUGGGGAGAAGGCUAUCUGGUUUUAUCAAGGUAAGAGCCGGGAAAAGAGAAGGGAGAAAGGAAAGAAAGUAUACAUUUAUUGAGUGCUAACUGUGUGCUUGGCAGUUUAUAGACGCUGACUUAUUGGAUCUUUACAAUAACCCUACGAUAUGGUUGAUUUCAUUUUAUAAGCGAGGAAAUUAGAAUCAGAGAAUCAUGCACUUGGUCCUGAGAUUCCAGAUUUUGUAAUACACAAAGUGGUCUUACCUACUAGGGAUGUUCAUGAACAAACACACAUACAUCUGCUUUUCAUAGUUACUAGGAAUCCUGUUGAGGCAUGAUUGUAUAGCGAGGAUAUUUCAAUGUUCCUUUUCACAUUUUUUAAGGAUAUUUUAAGAGGGGCUUUCUCUGCUCUCGAAAGUAGCACCUCUCCAGCAUUCUUUGCCCUGUACUUUGACUUCCUUUUCUCCCUUACAGUAGCACCCCCUGCCAUAUGGUUACUUAUUAUCUAUUUAUUUUACUAGAAGGUAGCUUUGUGAGACGUGUUGUGAGCUCCUUGAUAUCAGGAAAUAUUUUUUCUUCAGCUUCUGAGAGAAGGUCUGGCACCUAGUAGGCCUACGUCACUAAAUAUUUGAUGGAUUUGUCAGUGCCAGAAGCUUCCUAACAAUUGCCAGCUCAGUUGUCAGCAUGGGACUCGAGUAAAGCACAAAAGUGAAAAGGAGAUUAUUCACACAAAGAGAGGUGUAAAAGAAUGAAUGGGCUGUGGAGAAUAGAUGAGAGAAACAAAGCAUAGGUCCAGCCAUCUGCUCCAAAGUCCUCUUCCAUCGGUACACAAGAAAAUCCUUCCUGUGUUUUACACGUGAAGAUGUUGGAUGUGCCUCCUUCACCACCCAGGAGUCACACUAAAGAGGGGUUUAAAAAUUAGAAUGAAAGAUGCAGCUGCUUUCACAGAGAAGCAGCAGCCAACGGUUUUCCGUUCAACCACUGUUCUGUUGUCUAUAACUGACUUAGGACAUCUUGGGAAAACACAGCAAAAAACAAGUUAACACUGAGGUAGGUGUGCUUCUGAUUCCUCCUAUUCUGAGCAUGGCUGAAGUGACCAACAAUAGAAACAUGGGGACACCUGUACCAUUGCUAGAUUCUACAGAAGGGAGUUGUUCACAUGCAAAAAAAGGAAGUUCUCAUAGGUAGAGUGGAGUGGGAUGCACUGGGCCUUGAGGGCUAUCUGGGAGUCUGGUAGGCAUUCACAUGC